rnacentral:rRNA from 1 species
UACGUAGGUGGCAAGCGUUGUCCGGAAUUAUUGGGCGUAAAGCGCGCGCAGGCGGUUAUGUUAGUCUGAUGUUAAAGCCCGGGGCUCAAACUCGGUUCGAAUUGGAAACUGAGUAACUUGAGUGCAGAAGAUGAAAGUGGUAUUCCACGUGUAGCGGUGAAAUGCGUAGAUAUGUGGAGGAACAUCAGUGGCGAAGGCGACUUUCUGGUCUGUAAAUGACGCUGAGGCGCGAAAGCGUGGGGAGCAAACAGG